rnacentral:rRNA from 1 species
UACGUAGGGUGCGAGCGUUAAUCGGAAUUACUGGGCGUAAAGCGUGCGCAGGCGGUUUUGUAAGACAGAGGUGAAAUCCCCGGGCUCAACCUGGGAACUGCCUUUGUGACUGCAAGACUUGAGUGCGGCAGAGGGGGAUGGAAUUCCGCGUGUAGCAGUGAAAUGCGUAGAUAUGCGGAGGAACACCGGUGGCGAAGGCGGCAUCCUGGACCGACACUGACGCUGAGGCGCGAAAGCUAGGGUAGCAAACGGG